rnacentral:rRNA from 1 species
UGGGGAAUUGUUCACAAUGGGCGCAAGCCUGAUGACGCAACGCCGCGUGGGGGAUGAAGGUCUUCGGAUCGUAAACCCCUGUCGAAUGGGACGAAAGACUCGCGAGUGAAUACUUCGCGAGAGUGACGGUACCGUUAAAGGAAGCCACGGCUAACUCUGUGCCAGCAGCCGCGGUAAUACAGAGGUGGCAAGCGUUGUUCGGAAUUACUGGGCGUAAAGGGCGCGUAGGCGGCCCUCUAAGUCAGACGUGAAAUCCCCCGGCUUAACCUGGGAACUGCGUCUGAUACUGGAGGGCUUGAGUAUGGGAGAGGGAUGUAGAAUUCCAGGUGUAGCAGUGAAAUGCGUAGAUAUGUGGAGGAAUACCGAUGGCGAAGGCAGCCCCCUGGGAUAACACUGACGCUCAUGCACGAAAGCGUGGGGAGCAAACAGGAUUAGAUACCCGCGUAGUCCCUGAGCGGGCUGGCAAGGCGCAU